ACGGAGGAUGCAAGCGUUAUCCGGAUUCAUUGGGUUUAAAGGGUGCGCAGGCGGAUUAAUAAGUCAGUGGUGAAAUCCUACGGCUCAACUGUAGAACUGCCAUUGAUACUGUUAGUCUUGAGUAUUGUUGAGGUAGGCGGAAUGUGUCAUGUACAGCUGAAACACUUAUAAAUGACACACAACACCGAUCGCGAAGGCAUCUUACCAAGCAAUAACUGAUGAUCAUGUACGUAACCGUGGGGAUAGAUCUG
rnacentral:rRNA from 1 species